rnacentral:rRNA from 1 species
GUUCGGAUUGUAGGCUGAAACUCGCCUACAUGAAGCUGGAGUUACUAGUAAUCGCAGAUCAGAAUGCUGCGGUGAAUACGUUCCCGGGUCUUGUACACACCGCCCGUCACACCAUGGGAGUCGGAAAUGCCCGAAGCCGGUGACCAAACCAAUAAGGAAGGAGCCGUCGAAGGCAGGUCUGAUAACUGGGGUGAAGUCGUAACAAGGUACC